rnacentral:tRNA from 1 species
GCGGGCGUGGUGAAACGGAAAACACGCCGGUUUUAGGUGCCGGUGCUCGAAAGAGCUUGAGGGUUCGACUCCCUCCGCCCGCA